rnacentral:misc_RNA from 1 species
AUCUUUAUUUAGAAAUAUUUGAAAUAUACAGGCCUCAUUCUACUGGUCAUUUCCUACGUCAAUCGAUUGCAGGUGUCAUUCGAUUUUCUAUAGAUUUACAGGUUAGUUUCUUGUAACGGUAUAUAUAAAUUUAUACACGUUAGUAUUUUACUUGUAUAGUUUAAUAUAUAUUAAGAGUAUAGUACUAUAUAAUGGUAUAAGUUGACUUUUUGUGCAUUUUAUAUUAAUAAAGGUCGAGAGUAACAUUAACGGAAACUUUUUUAAGAUAUGUAUAUAAAUAUUCUACUAUGUAAAGAGAGUAAAGGUAUUCUCUUUGUUUGUCCUUGAUCAUACUAAUGUUAUUAUUAUAUUAUUAUAGUAUUGUAGAUUCCUUAUUCAUUUUGACUCCCCCAUACCCUUCAGCCCCCUCUUUUUAUUCUGUUUACAAUUUACCUUAUAUAAAGCCAAUUCUCGUUUUUGUACCCGAAAAUACAACUUCUUUUUGAAAGAUUCAAGUAAAAAUAGAUAUUUUUACCCUUUCUUAUUCAUCUACUAUACAGUAAUAUAGGACAAUUAGACACAUGUAUAUAUAAUUUGAACUUGAAUCAAUUUGUGGUUAACCAAGUAAGGAUAUUUAUAAUCGUUAAUAAUUACUUAAUUCUGUACUGUGUUAACCUCUAGUUAAGGCGGAUGUGUGUGCAUUGGAAAUGAUUUGUUAUGAAGAGAGAGAAUAGAUGGUUUCUGUAUUUUAUAUUAUAUAUUUUAUAUAAGCGUAUGCCAUGUAUUUCAUAUGACUAGUUUAAGCUAUAUAAAUAAAUACCUUAUAGACAUAUAUAUAUAUAUAUAUAUAUAUAUAUUGAUAACAGUACGAAAGUACGAUAUUUUAACUGCUAUUUAGGCGAGUUUAUGCUUUAACGGCUACUAUUUAAUGAUUUUUUUAUAGGAUAUUUAAAUGAACAGAUUUUGCAACCAUCCAGUUCGUAAUCCAUAUGUUAAACAUAUGUCCAACCUAUAUAUAAUUAAUUAUAAACCUUUUUUUCCUCCAGUAUAGAACAUGGCUGAUAAAGAGUUUAUUGAUAGCGCCUUAAAGGCUCAUAACGACUACAGGAAGAAGCACUCUGCACCUCCUCUUAAACACAACAAAGAAAUCUCGGCAAUCGCUCAGAAAUGGGCAAACGAAUUGGCUAAAAAGGAUGCUUUUCAACACAGUCAAGAUAGGGAGUACAAGGGUGGCAAGAUGGGAGAGAAUAUUGCCAUGAAGUGGACAUCAUCUGGCGAUGAUUAUACAGGACCCGAGCCAGUUAGUCAAUGGUACGAUGAGGUUGAACGCUAUAAUUAUAGUACAGGCUCCGGACCAAGUACUGGCCACUUUACACAAGUUGUAUGGGUAGGUAGUAAAGAAGUUGGUUUUGGAAAGGCAAAGAGUUCGAGCGGAAAAUGGUUGGUUGUAGCCAAUUAUUAUCCAGCUGGAAAUUUUAUUGGACAAUAUAAGGAGAACGUUCUGAAACCAGGUACAAGAUCAUCUAGUAAAAAAGCUGGUAAAUCGAAAAAAGACUGCACAAUUAUUUAA